UACGUAGGGUGCGAGCGUUGUCCGGAAUUAUUGGGCGUAAAGAGCUUGUAGGCGGUUUGUCGCGUCUGCUGUGAAAAUCCGGGGCUCAACCCCGGACUUGCAGUGGGUACGGGCAGACUAGAGUGUGGUAGGGGAGACUGGAAUUCCUGGUGUAGCGGUGAAAUGCGCAGAUAUCAGGAGGAACACCGAUGGCGAAGGCAGGUCUCUGGGCCACUACUGACGCUGAGAAGCGAAAGUGUGGGGAGCGAACAGG
rnacentral:rRNA from 1 species